AGAGUUUGAUCCUGGCUCAGAACGAACGCUGGCGGCAGGCCUAAACCAUGCAAGUUGAACGGCCAUAGCAAUAUGGCAGUAGCGCAAGGGUGAGUAAUGUAUGGGAACGUAUCUUUUGGUGGGGAAUAUUCUUUGGAAACGAAGAGCAAUACCGCAUAAGCCCUACGGGGGAAAGAUUUAUCGCCGAUUGAGCGGCCCAUAUUGGAUUAGCUAGUUGGUUGGGUAAUGGCCGACCAAGGCUGUGAUCCAUAGCUGGUCUGAGAGGACGAUCAGCCACACUGGGACUGAGACACGGCCCAGACUCCUACGGGAGGCAGCAGGUAGGAAUAUUGGACAAUGGGGGCAACCCUGAUCCAAGCCAUGCCGCGUGAGUGUUAAGGCCUUCGGGUUGUAAAGCUCUUUUGUAUGGGAAAAUGAUGAUGGUACCAUAAGAAUAAGCACCGGCUAACUUCGUGCCAGCCGCAGC
rnacentral:rRNA from 1 species